UGUGCCUACGGGACGCAGCAGUAGGGAAUAUUGCUCAAUGGGGGAAACCCUGAAGCAGCAACGCCGCGUGAAGGAUGAAGGUUUUAGGAUUGUAAACUCCUUUUGUGAGAGAAGAUAAUGACGGUAUCUCACGAAUAAGCACCGGCUAACUCCGUGCCAGCAGCCGCGGUAAUACGGAGGGUGCAAGCGUUACUCGGAAUCACUGGGCGUAAAGAGCGCGUAGGCGGGAUAGCAAGUCAGAUGUGAAAUCCUAUGGCUUAACCAUAGAACUGCAUUUGAAACUGCUAUUCUAGAGUAUGGGAGAG
rnacentral:rRNA from 1 species